AUUUGUGAGGCUUCAUGUUAGGACUGGUGGCAAAAACAAAUAAUGAUCCUGCUCUUAAGAAACUUGCAAUUUUGUGAGAGAAGGAGACAGGAACAGAGAACAUACUUUGCCUUUUAUCACAUUAAAGCACUUCUGAAACCCAAGGAGGAGCUGGGUUAACUUCAAAUACUAAGGGAAGGAUUAAAAGAAGAUGAGGCCCGCAAAAGCCUUAUCCUGAAGGAUGAGUAGGCUUCUGACAGAAAAGCAAGACCGCAAAGAAAAGAAAGAGGAAACAGGAGGCGAGAAUGUGCCCAGAAAAUCCUACACAACAGAACUCUGGGAAGAGCUAAGCUGAGAAAUGGUACAGAAUGCUGCCUUCAAAACCCAAGAAAAUAAACACAUUAUAAACAAAGAACAAAGAUAAGACUCAACUGCAAGGAACACAGCAAGCAAAUUUUAAAGGGCAGCCCAGGAAGGAGCUGAGAGUGUUAAGUACAAACCAUCAAGGCUCAAGAGAAAAGGAGAUGGCUUCACAGAAUCAAAAACCCACAAGAAGUCAGGCAUGAUGGCUCGCACCUGUAAUCCCAGCAUUUGGGGAAGCUGACGCAGAUGGAUGGCUUGCCCCUACCAGUUUCAGACCAGCCUGGGCAACACAGAAAGCAGUCUCCAUCAACACGAAACAUUUUAAAAAUUAGCUGGGUGUGAUGGCUCCUGCCUGUAGUCCCAGCUACUCGAGAGGCUGAACUGAGGGAGGAAGGGACCCAGAAUCACCCAGCUAUGAUCACUGCAGUCUAGCCUGUGCAACAGAGACCCUGUCUCUAAAACUAACUAAAGAAAUAAAUAGCAGGAAGAAGUAAAAAGAAAGAUCUAGGAUGCAGGAAGAGAAUGAGAAGACACAUACCCGGACCCAGCCAAAAAAAUAAAAAUCAACAAUGAUUACUCUCGAAAUUGAUGUUAUGAAAUCAAUGCCAAACAGUAAUACAUAAAUAAAUAAAUCCUGAUACAAAAUAGUAAAAUGCAUGCAGAA
rnacentral:lncRNA from 10 species